AACGAACGCUGGCGGCAGGCUUAACACAUGCAAGUCGAGCGCCCCGCCAGGGGAGUGGCAGACGGGUGAGUAACGCGUGGGGACGUACCCUUAUCUUCGGGAUAGCCCUGGGAAACUGGAAUUAAUACCGAAUGUGCCCUUUGGGGGCAAGAUUUAUCGGGUAAGGAUCGGCCCGCGUUGGAUUAGCUGGUUGGUGGGGUAAAGGCCUACCAAGGCGACGAUCCAUAGCUGGUCUGAGAGGAUGAUCAGCCACAUUGGGACUGAGACACAGCCCAAACUCCUACGCGAGGCAGCAGAGGGGAAUAUUGGACAAUGGGCGCAAGCCUGAUCCAGCCAUGCCGGGUGAGUGAUGAAGGCCUUAGGGUUGUAAAGCUCUUUCACCGGAGAAGAUAAUGACGGUAUCCGGUGAAGAAGCCCCGGCUAACUUCGUG
rnacentral:rRNA from 1 species